rnacentral:rRNA from 1 species
GAUGAACGCGGGCGGCGUGCCUAAUACAUGCAAGUAGAACGCUGAAGCUUGGUGCUUGCACCGAGCGGAGGAGUUGCGAGCGGGUGAGUAACGCGUAGGUAACCUGCCUCUUAGCGGGGGAUAACUAUUGGAAACGAUAGCUAAUACCGCAUAAAAGUCGACAUUGCAUGAUGUUGACUUGAAAGGUGCAACUGCAUCACUAAGAGAUGGACCUGCGUUGUAUUAGCUAGUUGGUGAGGUAACGGCUCACCAAGGCGACGAUACAUAGCCGACCUGAGAGGGUGAUCGGCCACACUGGGACUGAGACACGGCCCAGACUCCUACGGGAGGCAGCAGUAGGGAAUCUUCGGCAAUGGGGGCAACCCUGACCGAGCAACGCCGCGUGAGUGAAGAAGGUUUUCGGAUCGUAAAGCUCUGUUGUAAGAGAAGAACGAGUGUGAGAGUGGAAAGUUCACACUGUGACGGUAACUUACCAGAAAGGGACGGCUAACUACGUGCCAGCAGCCGCGGUAAUACGUAGGUCCCGAGCGUUAUCCGGAUUUAUUGGGCGUAAAGCGAGCGCAGGCGGUUAGAUAAGUCUGAAGUUAAAGGCUGUGGCUUAACCAUAGUACGCUUUGGAAACUGUUUAACUUGAGUGCAGAAGGGGAGAGUGGAAUUCCAUGUGUAGCGGUGAAAUGCGUAGAUAUAUGGAGGAACACCGGUGGCGAAAGCGGCUCUCUGGUCUGUAACUGACGCUGAGGCUCGAAAGCGUGGGGAGCAAACAGG